AACGAACGCUGGCGGCAUGCCUAACACAUGCAAGUCGAACGAGACCUUCGGGUCUAUUGGCGCACGGGUGCGUAACGCGUGGGAACCUGCCCUUAGGUUCGGAAUAACUCCCCGAAAGGGGUGCUAAUACCGGAUAAUGUCUUCGGACCAAAGAUUUAUCGCCUUUGGAUGGGCCCGCGUUGGAUUAGCUAGUUGGUAGGGUAAAAGCCUACCAAGGCGACGAUCCAUAGCUGGUCUGAGAGGAUGAUCAGCCACACUGGGACUGAGACACGGCACAGACUACUACGGGAGGGAGCAGUGGGGAAUAUUGGACAAUGGGCGAAAGCCUGAUCAAGCAAUGCCGCGUGAGUGAUGAAGGCCUUAGGGUUGUAAAGCUCUUUUACACGGGAUGAUAAUGACAGUACCGGGAGAAUAAGCGCCGGCUAACUCCGUG
rnacentral:rRNA from 1 species